UACGUAGGGUGCAAGCGUUAAUCGGAAUUACUGGGCGUAAAGGGCCAGUAGGCGGCCAACUAAGUCCGACGUGAAAUCCCCAGGCUUAACCUGGGAACUGCGUCGGAUACUGGAUGGCUUGAAUUCGGGAGAGGGAUGCAGAAUUCCAGGUGUAGCGGUGAAAUGCGUAGAUAUCGGGAGGAACACCAGUGGCGAAGGCGACUACCUGGCCUGUUCUUGACGCUGAGGCGCGAAAGCUAGGGGAGCAAACGGG
rnacentral:rRNA from 1 species